rnacentral:rRNA from 1 species
CCAUGGAAGCUGUGAGCGCCCGAAGUCCGUGUCGGAACCCGGAGCAAUCUGGGCCAAGCGGCCGAAGGCGAGCGCAGUGACUGGGGCG